rnacentral:rRNA from 1 species
GCUCCUAUUACGGUCACCGACUUCAGGUACCCCAGACUUCCAUGGCUUGACGGGCGGUGUGUACAAGGCCCGGGAACGUAUUCACCGCGCCAUGGCUGAUGCGCGAUUACUAGCGAUUCCAGCUUCAUAGAGUCGAGUUGCAGACUCCAAUCCGAACUGAGACCGGCUUUCGAGAUUCGCAUCCUGUCACCAGGUAGCUGCCCUCUGUACCGGCCAUUGUAUUACGUGUGUGGCCCAAGACGUAAGGGCCGUGAUGAUUUGACGUCAUCCCCACCUUCCUCUCUACUUGCGUAGGCAGUCCCAACAGAGUCCCCAACUGAAUGAUGGCAACUGUUGGCAGGGGUUGCGCUCGUUGCAGGACUUAACCUAACACCUCACGGCACGAGCUGACGACAACCAUGCAGCACCUUGAAAAUUGCCCGAAGGAGGAUCUAUUUCUAAAUCUGUCAAUUCCCAUUUAAGUCUUGGUAAGGUUCCUCGCGUAUCAUCGAAUUAAACCACAUAAUCCACCGCUUGUGCGGGCCCCCGUCAAUUCCUUUGAGUUUCAUCCUUGCGGACGUACUCCCCAGGUGGCUAACUUAUCACUUUCGCUUGGUCUCUGAACCCGAAGAUCCAAAAACGAGUUAGCAUCGUUUACGGCGUGGACUACCAGGGUAUCUAAUCCUGUUCGCUCCCCACGCUUUCGUCCAUCAGCGUCAGUUAAAUCUUAGUGACCUGCCUUCGCAAUCGGUGUUCUAAGUAAUAUCUAUGCAUUUCACCGCUACACUACUUAUUCCAGCCACUUCAAAUUUACUCAAGGCCUGCAGUAUCAAUGGCAGUUUCAUAGUUAAGCUAUGAGAUUUCACCACUGACUUACAGGCCCGCCUACGGACCCUUUAAACCCAAUAAAUCCGGAUAACGCUCGCAUCCUCCGUAUUACCGCGGCUGCUGGCACGGAGUUAGCCGAUGCUUAUUCGUACAGUACAUGCAAUACAUUACACGUAAUGUCUUUUAUUCCUGUACAAAAGAAGUUUACAACCCGUAGGGCAGUCUUCCUUCACGCGAUUUGGCUGGUUCAGACUCUCGUCCAUUGACCAAUAUUCCUCACUGCUGCCUCCCGUAGGAGUCUGGGCCGUGUCUCAGUCCCAGUGUGGCUGAUCAUCCUCUCAGACCAGCUAUGGAUCGUCGCCUUGGUAGGCCAUUACCCCACCAACUAGCUAAUCCAACGCGGGCUCAUCCAUCACCGAUAAAUCUUUCUCCCGAAGGACGUAUACGGUAUUAGCUCCAGUUUCCCGGAGUUGUUCCGUAGUGAUGGGUAGAUUCCCACGCGUUACUCACCCGUCUGCCGCUCCCC